CCCAGGGUUUCACCCUGGGCUGUGAUGAUGUCGCCCCUUCGGGGCU
rfam:Granulicella mallensis MP5ACTX8, complete genome.